CCCCAGCAGCGAAACCCCACCCCUAAAAGAGGCAACCAAUGGGGGGACCGCCCGGCCAGCAGGGGGCGCUAGAGCGGGGGGGCAAUGGGGAGGUCUCAAUGGGAUCGUCCAAUGGGGUGGCCCCAAUGGGGUGACCUCAAUGGGGACGUAACCAAUGGGGUGACCUCAAUGGGGAUGUAACCAAUGGGGUGGCACCAAUGGGGUGACCUCAAUGGGGAUGUAACCAAUGGGGUGGCACCAAUGGACACGUAACCAAUGGGGUGGCCUCAAUGGAGAUGUAACCAAUGGGGUGGCCCCAAUGGACACGUAACCAAUGGGGUGGCCUCAAUGGAGAUGUAACCAAUGGGGUGGCACCAAUGGGGUGACCUCAAUGGACACGUAACCAAUGGGGUGGCACCAAUGGACACAUAACCAAUGGGGUGACCUCAAUGGGGACGUAACCAAUGGGGUGGCUCCAAUGGGGUGACCUCAAUGGGGAUGUAACCAAUGGGGUGACCUCAAUGGACAUGUAACCAAUGGGGUGGCCUCAAUGGAGAUGUAACCAAUGGGAUGUAACCAAUGGGGUGACCUCAAUGGAGAUGUAACCAAUGGGAUGACACCAAUGGACACGUAACCAAUGGGGUGGCCCCAAUGGAGAUGGCCUCAUGGAGAUGUAACCAAUGGGGUGGCCUCAAUGGGGUUACCUCAAUGGAGAUGCAACCAAUGGGAUGUCACCAAUGGGGUGACCUCAGUGGAGAUGUAACCAAUGGGGUGGCCUCAAUGGGGAUGUAACCAAUGGGAUGGCCUCAAUGGAGACGUAACCAAUGGGGUGGCCCCAAUGGAGAUGUUACCAAUGGAGAUGCCACCAAUGGGGUGGCACCAAUGGAGAUGACCUCAAUGGAGAUGUAACCAAUGGGGUGGCCUCAAUGGAGACGUAACCAAUGGGGUGGCCCCAAUGGGAUGGCCUCAAUGGAGAUGCAACCAAUGGGAUGUCGCCAAUGGGGUGGCUUCAAUCAGGGACGCCCCCAUCGGGUGCCCCAUGGCGAGGGGUCCCCCCAGGGGUGUGGGGCGCCCCAUAGCGGUGGCGGUGCCGAAUGUCCACUAUUUAUCUGCAUCAAUAAACACCUUAGAGCUGA